rnacentral:RNase_P_RNA from 1 species
GCGGGGGAACUCCUGGUCGCGCCCUCAGUGCCAUGAGUACUGGGGGUGAGGAAAGUCCGGGCACCGCAGGGCAAGGAUGCCAGCUAACGGCUGGUCGGCGAGUCAAGCGCCCGCACGAGCGCAGCGGCGUGCGGGUGGCGGCGAAGCCGAAGGAAAGUGCCACAGAAACCAGACCGCCUUUCCCCUUAAGCCCCGGCGCGGGUGGGGAAAGGUCAGGGUGAAACGGUGCGGUAAGAGCGCACCAGGCCCGGCGGAGACGCGGGGCGCUGGUAAACCCCAUCCGGUGCAAGACCCGACCGUACGCGAGGGCGGCCCGCCCGUUGACCGUCAGGAUGGUCGCUGGAAGUGCGCGGCGACGCGUACUCAAGAGAGAUGACCAGGCAGCCACGCGAGUGGCGGACAGAACCCGGCUUACAAGUCCCCCGCACCA